rnacentral:rRNA from 1 species
GAUGAACGCUGGCGGCGUGCCUAAUACAUGCAAGUCGAGCGAACAGAUGAGGAGCUUGCUCCUCUGACGUUAGCGGCGGACGGGUGAGUAACACGUGGAUAACCUACCUCUAAGACUGGGAUAACUUCGGGAAACCGGAGCUAAUACCGGAUAAUAUAUUGAACCGCAUGGUUCAAUAGUUCAAGACGGUUUUGCUGUCACUUAUAGAUGGAUCCGCGCCGCAUUAGCUAGUUGGUAAGGUAACGGCUUACCAAGGCAACGAUGCGUAGCCGACCUGAGAGGGUGAUCGGCCACACUGGAACUGAGACACGGUCCAGACUCCUACGGGAGGCAGCAGUAGGGAAUCUUCCGCAAUGGGCGAAAGCCUGACGGAGCAACGCCGCGUGAGUGAUGAAGGUCUUCGGAUCGUAAAACUCUGUUAUUAGGGAAGAACAAAUGUGUAAGUAACUAUGCACGUCUUGACGGUACCUAAUCAGAAAGCCACGGCUAACUACGUG